CAGGGUUUCUCUGUGUAGCUUUGUGCCUCUCCUGGAACUCACUCUGUAGCCCAGGCUGGCCUCGAACUCACAGAGAUCCUCCUGCUUCUGCCUCCCGAGUGCUGGGAUUAAAGCUGUGUGCCACCACUGCCUGGUGGGAGUUUAUGUCUUAAUGUUAUCAGCCUGACUUUGGUUCAACAAACAGAUGCCUGGGAACUUGCCCUUGAGCAAUUCGUCUCCAGGAGCAACUAAUAUAUUUUGGAUUUGAAAAAGCUGACUUUGUAGCUGAGAAUACUGUCAUUUUUCUAUGUUAGUUUGAGUUGGAAAAAUAGCCUAGUAUUAUUUCUAUCCAUCAAAAUUAUACAGGUUAAGCAGAAAUCAUCUUCCUGACCAUCCACUGCUGUAAAUGUGCCCAAUAGAUGGGAUAUAUAGAUGAGAUAAACACACAAGCAGUUCUUAGGGAAAGAAGGAAAGUAGAAAAGUAGGAAAACACCCAUAGCAGUUCUUAAGGAAGAAAUGUAGUGGUACAUGAGAAAAACUACAGAUGGAAGUAAUCAGCCUUCUAUAGUCAGUAACCCUACGGUCUUUGCCAAAUGGGGCUCCCCAUCAGAGAGUUAUUCAUCUGGUGGGUCAACCUGUUGAAUACUAGUUGUCACCUGCUGUAUACCCCCAUGGCCUCCAGCAGACAAGAUCCCAAGAGACCCACAGGGUGGGACAGCAGCACAGCCGGGAUGACACUAAGUCCCCAGUGUGCUGGAGGAUCCUCAGUCACUUCAUUGUUCUGCCUUUGACCUUUCUCCAAUUUAUGGAAAGUGAAAGGGGCUGUACUCUCAGCUGAAAAGCAUGAGCUCUGGGCCACCUUAAACUUCAUUAAACUAGAACUCCCUAAUAUUUUUUGAAAUAAUAUUUCCAAAAAGGACUCCCAAACUCACUCCUUUAUUUCCUAAUCCCCAAUUCUCUGAUACAGUAUUAACACUUGACCAUUUGUCAUUCUUCCUGCUUCAUGGGUAUGUAUACUGACGAGAAUGCACAUACCUCUGGAAGAAGCUGCAGAUAUGAUGUUCUACUUGUCUUUGAUACUCCAAGGUACAAAUCCUAAAGAUCUUCAUCCUGUGUAACCACAGUAGUCUUCAAAACUGGAAAGAGAAAGCAUUCUACGAAAGAAUACUCUGGCAAUACAGCAGACGAGACACGCCAGGAAGAGGCUUUGAUUAUAUUAGAAGUCUCCUCAGCAAGGACAGUGGCCAUUGUAGCUGAGCUGGAUCUGUCUGCAGGAGAGGGGGACCCCAGCCCACGGAGUGAUGCCAUCCAUACAGAAGAAGAGUCUUCUCUGACCAGCUCAGCAUCUCUGGACACACCCUCAUAUACACACCCAGAGCACAGGUGACAACAUUCCAGGGAAGUGUUUUACAGAGUGCAGGAAGCAGCAUUAACAAGGCGACAUUCUCAGCCGUCAACGCGUAUUUCUUUUUGAUAACAAGCAUCUUGUCGGUGACAACAGCGUGGCAGCACAGAGAGCCUGCCACACUGAAGUUCAAGAAGUACAAUCUGCUCUGUGAAACAUGUGCCUGAAGGCUUUCUUGGUCCUCAAGUCACCGUGUCCGUCCUUAGGACUUGGGGAUUCAGGAAUGACUCACCCGGUGCUGAUCCCUUAAAAUGCUGCUUCUCUGCAGUAUACCCGUUUUGUUGAUAGAACUACAUAAGAACAUCUUAAAAUACAGCCUGGUCUCUCUACUCACUGACAACUGUGUGGAGGAGGCCAGGCUUAAAAAGGUGUAGGGCAAGGAGCUAUGACUGCACUGGGGCGUUGUCCUGGAUCCUGGCAGCUUUGCAGGAGAAGCUGACAG